rnacentral:lncRNA from 1 species
AUGCAAAAAAGCAAAAUGGCUGUCUGGGGAGGCCUUACAAAUAGCUGUAAAAAGAAGAGAGGUGAAAGCAAAGGAGAAAAGCAAAGAUAUAAGCAUCUGAAUGUAGACUUUCAAAGAAUAGCAAGAAGAGAUAAGAAAGCCUUCUUCAGCGAUCAAUGCAAAGAAAUAGAGGAAAACAACAGAAUGGAAAAGACUAGAGAUCUCUUCAAGAAAAUUAGAGAUACCAAGGGAACAUGUCAUGCAAAGAUGGGCUUGAUAAAGGACAGAAAUGGUAUGGACCCAACAGAAGCAGAAGAUAUUAAGAAGAGGUGGCAAGAAUACACAGAAGAACUGUACAAAAAAGAUCUUCACGACCCAGAUAAUCAUGAUGAUGUGAUCACUAAUCUAGAGCCAGACAUCUUGGAAUGUGAAGUCAAGUGGGCCUUAGAAAGCAUCACUACGAACAAAGCUAGUGGAGGUGAUGGAAUUCCAGUUGAGCUAUUUCAAAUCCUGAAAGAUGAUGCUGUGAAAGUGCUACACUCAAUAUGCCAGCAAAUUUGGACAACUCACCAGUGGCCACAGGACUGGAAAAGGUCAGUUUUCAUUCCAAACCCAAAGUUAGGCAAUGCCAAAGAAUGCUCUAACUACCGCACAAUUGCACUCAUCUCACAUGCUAGUAAAGUAAUGCUCAAAAUUCUCCAAGCCAGGCUUCAGCAAUACGUGAACUGUGAACUUCCUGAUGUUCAAGCUGGUUUUAGAAAAGGCAGAGGAACCAGAGAUCAAAUUGCCAAUAUUCACUGGAUCAUGGAAAAAGCAAGAGAGUUCCAGAAAAACAUCUAUUUCUGCUUUAUUGACUAUGCCAAAGCCUUUCACUGUGUGGAUCACAAUAAACUGUGGAAAAUUCUGAAAGAGAUGGGAAUACCAGACCACCUGACCUGCCUCUUGAGAAAUCUGUAUGCAGGUCAGGAAGCAACAGUUAGAACUGGACAUGGAACAACAGACUGGUUCCAAAUAGGAAAAGGAGUACGUCAAAGCUGUAUCUUGUCACCCUGCUUUUUUAAAUUAUAUGCAGAGUACAUCAUGAGAAACGCUGGACUGGAAGAAACACAAGCUGGAAUCAAGAUUGCCAGGAGAAAUAUCAAUAACCUCAGAUAUGCAGAUGACACAACCCUUAUGGCAGAAAAUGAAGAGGAGCUAAAAGGCCUCUUUAUGAAAGUGAAAGAGGAGAGCGAAAUAGUUUGCUUAAAGCUCAACAUUCAGAAAACGAAGAACAUGGCAUCUGGUCCCAUCACUUCAUGGGAAAUAGAUGGGGAAACAGUAGAAACAAUGUCAGACUUUAUUUUUUUGGGCUCCAAAAUCACUGCAGAUGGUGACUGCAACCAUGAAAUUAAAAGACACUUAUUCCUUGGAAGAAAAGUUAUGACCAACCUAGAUAGCAUAUUCAAAAGCAGACAUGUUACUUUGCCAAUUAAGGUCUGUCUAGUCAAGGCUAUGGUAUUUCCUGUGGUCAUGUAUGGAUGUGAGAUUUGGACUGUGAAGAAGGCUGAACACCGAAGAAUUGAUUGUUUUGAACUGCGGUGUUGGAGAAGACUCUUGAGAGUCCCUUGGACUACAAGGAGAUCCAACCAGUCCAUUAUGAAGGAGAUCAACCCUGGGAUUUCUUUGGAAGGAAUGAUGCUAAAGCUGAAGCUCCAGUUUUUGGCCACCUCAUACGAAGAAUUGACUCAUUGGAAAAGACUCUGA